rnacentral:rRNA from 1 species
AGGUGGCCGCAGAGAAUAGGCCCAAGCGACUGUUUACCAAAAACAUAGGUUUCUGCUAAGUCGCAAGACGAUGUAUAGGAGCUGACGCCUGCCCGGUGCUGGAAGGUUAAGGGGAUCUGUUAGAGUAAUCGAAGCAGUGAACUUAAGCCCCAGUAAACGGCGGCCGUAACUAUACCGGUCCUAAGGUAGCGAAAUUCCUUGUCGGGUAAGUUCCGACCCGCACGAAAGGCGUAACGAUUUGGGCACUGUCUCAACAACAGACUCGGUGAAAUUGUAAUUCCGGUGAAGAUGCCGGAUACCUG